rnacentral:rRNA from 1 species
AUUGAACGCUGGCGGCAUGCUUUACACAUGCAAGUCGAACGGCAGCGCGGGGCAACCUGGCGGCGAGUGGCGAACGGGUGAGUAAUAUAUCGGAACGUACCCAAGAGUGGGGGAUAACGUAGCGAAAGUUACGCUAAUACCGCAUACGAUCCAAGGAUGAAAGCAGGGGACCGCAAGGCCUUGUGCUCCUGGAGCGGCCGAUAUCUGAUUAGCUAGUUGGUGAGGUAAAGGCUCACCAAGGCGACGAUCAGUAGCUGGUCUGAGAGGACGACCAGCCACACUGGAACUGAGACACGGUCCAGACUCCUACGGGAGGCAGCAGUGGGGAAUUUUGGACAAUGGGCGCAAGCCUGAUCCAGCCAUUCCGCGUGCAGGAUGAAGGCCCUCGGGUUGUAAACUGCUUUUGUACGGAACGAAAAGGCCUGAGUUAAUACCUCGGGCUCAUGACGGUACCGUAAGAAUAAGCACCG